GGUUACCUUGUUACGACUUCACCCCAGUCAUGAAUCACAAAGUGGUAAGCGCCCUCCCGAAGGUUAAGCUACCUACUUCUUUUGCAACCCACUCCCAUGGUGUGACGGGCGGUGUGUACAAGGCCCGGGAACGUAUUCACCGUGGCAUUCUGAUCCACGAUUACUAGCGAUUCCGACUUCACGGAGUCGAGUUGCAGACUCCGAUCCGGACUACGACGCACUUUGUGAGGUCCGCUUGCUCUCGCGAGGUCGCUUCUCUUUGUAUGCGCCAUUGUAGCACGUGUGUAGCCCUACUCGUAAGGGCCAUGAUGACUUGACGUCAUCCCCACCUUCCUCCGGUUUAUCACCGGCAGUCUCCUUUGAGUUCCCGACCGAACCGCUGGCAACAAAGGAUAAGGGUUGCGCUCGUUGCGGGACUUAACCCAACAUUUCACAACACGAGCUGACGACAGCCAUGCAGCACCUGUCUCAGCGUUCCCGAAGGCACCAAUCCAUCUCUGGAAAGUUCGCUGGAUGUCAAGAGUAGGUAAGGUUCUUCGCGUUGCAUCGAAUUAAACCACAUGCUCCACCGCUUGUGCGGGCCCCCGUCAAUUCAUUUGAGUUUUAACCUUGCGGCCGUACUCCCCAGGCGGUCGACUUAACGCGUUAGCUCCGGAAGCCACUCCUCAAGGGAACAACCUCCAAGUCGACAUCGUUUACGGCGUGGACUACCAGGGUAUCUAAUCCUGUU
rnacentral:rRNA from 1 species